GCAUUAUCCCUAUUUCAUGUGGUCAUCAGUUCGUAAUUGUCAUACCAGUUGAGAUCAGAUAUUUAUGAUGAAUUUGAAUCAACCAAGGUAGAGUAUGUAUGUUUUGUACUAUUGUUUUCUCAUUUUAUAUCUAGGAAAGUAUUACAGUUAUAGUAAAUGGAUCCCUGGAUCAUUUGUUUAUCAAUAGGUAAACGAAAUUAUCUAUUUUUAUGAUAAUCAAAAGUCCUGAGAUUUAAUUAAGUUAUAUUACAUCAAUCCUUGUAUGUUGGGAAUCUAAUUGUAAGAAAUAGACAACAUCACGAGACAGUGUGCUCAUAGAACAUGGAUGCAUCAGAAACCUUGUGCACUUUACGCGUAUAAUUUUUUGCUUCAACUCCCUGAUCUAAAAAAACAGGUAUAUGACAUCUCAGGUGGCAAGAGCAUUCUGACAACCACUUCGCCAGUCCUGCUUACGCAUAUUGAUUUGCCUUCUUGCCAGCCACACUAGUAGGUAGGUAUGUUGUCUGUUUUCAUGGUAAAGUUGUAAUCCAUUGAGUUACAUGUCUUUCGUCUCUAUGUGGAUUAGUGCUGAAUAUACUUUUUAGAACUCUCCAAUGAUUUUGUAAAGCAAUCCUUAUUGUGCAACUGCUAUGGGAGUUUGACUUUUGGUCUGGUUUUGAUAAUUAUGCCAUUGAUAAUUGUGAAAGAAAUUCAGAAAACACAACUACUAGAUGAAUGGUAGAGAUUUUCUUUAUUUUCCAUUUUUAUAAUUAUUCUUCUUCUUUAUGACAUUGUCAAUGCUCUUUUGCAGGAGCAAUACUUGGCACCUCCAAACUUUGAAAGGUUGUUGGUAGCAAACUUAAAGCUUUUGACAGAUAAUGGGAAAUUGAGUAAGGUGAUAAAUUUGUUUUCUAUUUUUGGAAAAUAGUGUUGAUCUUUGAUUAUUUCUUUGAUUAUGCUUCAGUUUAUGUUCUAGAAUUGUUUGGAAGGGUGAGGAAGUCAAAGGAAUCUCCUUUAGCAUUGUUAUCACUACAUGUUUUGUUACCACUGCCUUUGGGGUAAAAGUUUUUACUUCACUUUUUAAUUGGGCAUCACUAUUUAAGAGGGUCUGCAGAAAUCUUAGGAGCUUCCUCCACCUCCAAUUAAAAGAACUCCUGAUCAGGUAAUUAAUUCCUAUUUUCUUGAGCUUCAUCUUAUCAUGCUUUUAUUUUCAUUAAACUAAGAUAGAUUAUAUAUUGUUACAUGCUCUAGAAAUUCAUACAAAUAUAUCAUAUGUUUUUGUGGUGUGGAUCAACCUCUCUCCUGUAUCCUACUAUUUUAUGCAUAACUCUGUUAGCCUCAGCAUAACUUUGGUGUAACAUCUAGAGAAAUUAAUUCAUUACCUAUUCUUUUUGUUUUCCUCCCCUUAAAUUUUACUACCUGAUUAACUAUCUUCCUAUAUUUUUAUAUUUAUCAUUUUUCACUUUAUGUAACUGCGGCUAGAGAAAGUAGUUGUGCAGCCAACUCCAGUUUCAUGGUGAGUUCUCUGUACUAGUUUAGGAUCAUUGUCUGUUGCCAAAAGAGGUUUUUAUUUUCUUUUCUUUUUUUAAUUUAAGUUCACCAGUUUCAUCUUUUCUUAUUCCUCGUCUUAUUGAAAUUGAAUUUUGGUGUUUCUAUUGCAGCAUGAAGUUUACAUGCCCAACCUUGAUUUUCUUAAAGAAAAUGAUGAUGAAGUGGAUCUAACAUGUCACACUUUAUUCCUUCUAGUUCAUUGUUAUUCUUUCAGUUUUCUUAUGUUAGUUAAUAAAUUUUGUAGGUACUAUGGUCCUUGUGAGACCAAGAUACAAUAAAAAUUUUUGUAGUUAUUGUGACUCGAGUAUUAUGAUCUAUUUAUAUGAGAAGUUUUGAUUUUAUUA
rnacentral:lncRNA from 1 species